rnacentral:lncRNA from 1 species
UGGGACAAAACCGUAAGGCCAGCGGGCCAAAGUGAAUAAUACCUCAUAAGGACUGGUGUGGAUCGUGACACUGCAGCACAUCCCUUCGAUGUCGUGGCAUUAGCCUAGCUUCAAGUCUUCUCUUAUUGACUACUACACUUUAUCAAAUUCCAAUGUGAUUUUCUCCAUCUUCAAGGUAGAAUUAAGUAAAGUGAUCACAUAAAAAUUGUAACUCCGUCUCUUAUCUUUCCAAUGGCUUAAGAAUCACUUCAUUUAGACGAUUGGAGUGAGAGUUAUGAUCAAAAUACUUCAACAUUGACGAAUAGG